rnacentral:lncRNA from 1 species
UACAGGCCAAAGAUAUUCAUCAGUUGGUCAUGUUCAUCUAAACACCUGUUCAUCUUUGCACUACGGGCCAAAGAUAUUCAUCAGAAAUCAUUCAUCUUUGCACUACAGGCCAAAGAUAUUCAAUAAUAUCAUCAUUUAAGACUGAGGAUGAUGAAAAAAAUUUUUUUUUUAAAGAAACGAAUCCAGUGAAACAAAAUGACAAGGAUUAAGGAUUAAGGAUUCGUACUUUGUUUUAUCCACGUCCAAAAAUACCUCAAAAAUAAUCAUAGUGGUGUAAAAUUCAAGAAUGAUCAAAACAUGGAUACAAUCAAAGCUAGUAUCCACAAUAGAUAUUUUGGACGAAAAGAAAAAUUUUCAUUUUUCGAUGAAUAGUGCCGUAUUCGUGAAUAGUACCGUAUACGUGAAUAGUGCCGUAUACGUGAAUAGUAACUCCGACACCAAAAGUUCCAAAUUUGAUAAAAACUUCAGAUCAAUAUUUCAGCAUAAUGAUAUUGAAGAAAUAAUAUCAUUACGAAAAAAAAUAAUAUCCCUUACCUCGGAAAGACAGUACUUCUAACUGGAAUACUGGAUAUAGGCUAUAACUUGAACUUUCACCGUAUAGCAAUACUCAAAGUAUACUCAAAAUACUCACAAGAAUACGCUCGAUAAUAUAGAGAGAGAAAACUUCAGUUUCUGGUGUGAUUUUCAAUUCUAACCUAAGCACCUAUUUAUAGGAAAUUGCUUAGAACACCAAAGCAGAAAAUUUAAUAUAAUAUUAAUAUAUAUAAAAAUAUUAUACGUAUUCCUUGAAAUCUUAAUCUCAGCAAUUCACACAUGCCAACCUUCUAGAAAAAAAUAAAAAAAACGUUUUUCUAAUUUAAAAUAUUUUAAACUUCCAAAAAUCAAUUAUUUCGGAGCUUCGGAACUUCAAUAAUUCAUAAUAAAUAGCCCUUUUAUCAGAAAAUUCGAAUCUCGCGAGUUUUUAUAGGAAAUUCAAUUCUCUACAACUUUGCAGAAGAAAGUUUUUCCAAAUUCCAAACAGAAAUUGACCGAAAUCCACAAACGGGCGAUUUUAGAGGCUAUAAUCAAAUUUCAGUCAAUAAAUGGGGUCCACCGACAUGUUUAACAUGUUUUAAACAUUUAUUGCAACAAAAAUACUCUUCCUCCUCGUAUACUCAUAUAUCCCACAUUCGUUGUAAAAAUAUCACCAUUAUUAUAUUAUUAAAAUAUAAUAAUAUAUAUAUUUAAAUGAAUUAUUUUAUCAGAAAAAGAUAAAAUUUCAAUUUUCAACAAUUGUCACAUUAAAAAUUUUCUCCAUCUAUAUCCACAUAAAAUCAAUAUUUUCCUCAUCAUAUGAAUCAAUAAUUAAUUAUUCACAAAUAAUAUUACAGAAUCACAAUAUUGACAACCAGGCAGUUCCCAGGAAAGAGGGGGCUUUCCAAUAAGAAUUUCUCCUUACUGGCGCGCAAUUAGGUGACCAAACCUCUCCUUAGACAGAACUUUCUAGACAUUGCCAAUAAUGUUAUCUAAUAAUAUUAUUCAGAUAAUAUGAAUUAUUGCUUCGAUAAUGAAAAAUACUGUGUAAUGACAAUUAUUGAAACAACAGCAAUAUAAAAUAUCAACGCAGCAAUUAUUGAAUCAAUAAAAUAAAAUACUGAACAGUAAUUACUGUAACCAUUAUUGAGUAGUGCCUUCUUACGUAAGAGUCAAUAAUUGGUGCAAUACCGUGUGCUACUGUGCAACAACGCGUAUUACUGUGUUUUAACCACCGGGUAUUCCAACAGUGUAAACGGUAACAACUACGCCGUUAUUUUUAAACAACUUAUAUUUGUCGUUUUCUUCCUCCAAUCGCUUUCCGUUAUGGGGCCCACACAUGGCUGCGCCGUCGUACGAAUAUUCCCCGACAGUACGAAUAUUCCACGACCAAACGAAUAUUCCCCGACAACAAUGAAUAUUUUAUAACCACUUGCUUAUUUUGAAAUAUUUGCGUAUUUUACCCAUAACUAUCCACAUUAAUCACAUCAACCCUUACUAUUUCAAAAUAAUAAUUAGAGGAAAUUAAAUUUCAUUUAUUAAUAAUUUGGGGUCUUACAACCUCCCCUCCUUAUGAAAUUUCGUCCUCGAAAUUGACGUACGUACCUGGUGUUUCGAAAAGGUGAGGAUACCUCGCUUUCAUUUCCGUUUCCAACUCCCAGGUCAUUUCCUCUAUAGCAUGGUUCCUCCACAAGACUUUAACUUGUGGUAUGACCUUCGUGCGUAGGACAUGCUCCUUCCUAUCCAAGAUCUUGACAGGUACCUCCUCAUACGUUAAGUCUUCGGCUAUCUCGUCCGGUUCUAACUCAAUAACGUGGUUCGGGUCUUUCACAUAUUUACGAAGUACAGAUAUGUGAAACACAUUAUGAACACGAGACAUACUUGGAGGUAACGCGAGUCUAUAGGCUACAUUUCCUACUCGGUCAAGAAUUUGAAAUGGACCAAUAAAUCGUGGAUUGAGCUUUCCUCUCUUCCCAAAUCUUGUAACUCCCUUCCAUGGAGCAACUCGCAACAAUACAUGAUCCCCUAUACUAAAUUCCACGUCCUUUCGAUGAAGAUCCGCAUAACUCUUUUGUCGAUCUUGUGCCGUUUGUAUACGUUGUCGAAUCAUUUGGAUCUUUUCGGUAGUCAUACGUACUAACUCGGGUCCCAACAAUGUUGCUUCACCCACCUCAUCCCAACAUAUUGGAGAGCGACACUUUCGUCCAUAUAAUGCUUCGAAUGGGGCCACACCUAUACUUGCCUGAUAACUGUUGUUGUAGGAGAAUUCCACCAAUGGUAAAUACUUAUCCCAACUGCCCUUGAAGUCUAGGACACAGAGUCUUAAUAAAUCUUCAAGAGUUUGAAUAGUCCUCUCUGAUUGUCCGUCCGUUUGAGGAUGGUAUGCCGAACUGAAUCUUAAAUCCGUACCCAUAGCUUUUUGCAAGCUAACCCAAAAUCUUGAAGUGAAUCUUGGGUCACGAUCCGAAACUAUGGAUACUGGCAUGCCAUGCAAUCUCACAAUCUCAUUUACGUACAUUUGAGCAAGACGUUCAAGGGAAUAAGUCUCCCGUAUCGGCAAGAAAUGAGCAGACUUGGUUAAUCUAUCAACAAUAACCCAAAUAGCAUUUAUGCCUUGAGAAACCGUGGGAAGACCCGUAACGAAAUCCAUGGUAAUGUGUUCCCACUUCCAUUUCGGAAUCUCAAGUGGUUGCAAUGGUCCCUUAGGCACUUGAUGCUCCGCCUUUACACGUUGACAAGUUAAACAUGUUGAGAUAAACUUUGCAAUCUCUCUCUUCAUAUUGUUCCACCAAAAUGUAUGUCGAAGAUCACGAUACAUUUUAGUACUUCCCGGAUGGAUUGCAAAUGGUGUAUUGUGUGCCUCCAUCAUAAUCUUGUACUUCAAAUCAGAAUCGUUAGGAACACAAAGUCUGGAGUGGACUCGAAGUAUUCCUUCUUCAUCAAUUCUCGCUUCCGGAAUAGCUCCUUCUUGUACUUUCUUCUUCAUAUGCAUCAGCUCCGGGUCGGUGGCUUGAGCAACCUUAACUUUUUCUAUUAAAGUUGGCUCUAUGCGUAUACUUGACAUCAUCGCACUCGUUCCUGCAUAUGAUCUUCUACUCAACGCGUCAGCUACCACGUUCGCUUUUCCAGGAUGGUAUUGAAUAGUGUGGUCGUAGUCUUUCAAUAGCUCGAGCCAACGUCGCUGCCGCAUGUUAAGUUCUUUUUGAGUGAAGAAAUAUUUAAGGCUUUUAUGGUCUGAAUAUAUCUCCACUUUCUCCCCAUAUAGAUAGUGCCUCCAGAUCUUUAGCGCGAAAACGACUGCUGCCAACUCUAGAUCAUGAGUAGGAUAAUUCCUCUCAUAUUCUUUAAGUUGUCGCGAGGCAUAGGCUAUGACUUUCCCACGUUGCAUGAGAACACAUCCUAACCCUUUGCCCGAAGCAUCGCUGUAGAUAACAAAUCCAUCCGAACCAGAUGGUAUUGUUAGAACAGGUGCCGAAAUAAGUCUCCUUUUAAGCUCUUGGAAACUCUUCUCGCACUCUUCGCUCCAAACGAAUUUUGUAUCCUUCCGAGUUAGAUGAGUUAACGGAGUAGCGAUUCGAGAAAACCCUUCCACGAAUCUCCGAUAAUAACCAGCUAAGCCCAAAAAGCUACGUACUUCAGUCACCGACUUCGGUUGCUCCCAACUUUGUAUUGCUUCAAUCUUCGCCGGGUCAACAGAUACUCCAUGUUUUGACACCACGUGCCCAAGGAAUGCUACUUCCUCAAGCCAGAACUCGCAUUUCUUCAACUUGGCAUAUAGCUUGUUUUCACGAAGCCUUUGGAGUACCAGCUUCAAAUGGUGCUCAUGAUCUUCACGACUUUUGGAAUAUAUGAGGAUGUCAUCAAUAAAGACAACAACGAACUGAUCCAAAUAUUCCUUGAAUACUCGGUUCAUCAUAUCCAUGAAAGCCGCAGGAGCAUUAGUCAAUCCAAAAGACAUGACUAAGAAUUCAUAAUGCCCGUACCGAGUUCUAAAGGCAGUCUUUGGAAUAUCCUCAGUUCUAAUCUUCAGCUGAUGAUAUCCAGAACGAAGAUCGAUUUUUGAAAAGAAUUGUGCUCCUUGCAACUGGUCAAACAAGUCAUCAAUACGAGGUAGAGGAUACCUAUUCUUGAUGGUGACAUGGUUCAAUUCCCGAUAGUCAAUACAAAGUCGCAUACUCCCGUCUUUCUUCUUUACGAAUAAAACAGGAGCACCCCAAGGAGAUGUACUAGGACGAAUGAAACCGAUGUCCAACAACUCCUGUAGUUGGACCUUUAACUCCUGAAGUUCAAUAGGAGCCAUUCGAUAUGGGGUUUUAGAAAUGGGCUUUGUACCAGGUUCAAGAUCAAUAAAGAAUUCAACUUCACGUUCUGGGGGUAGACCGGGAAGUUCUUCAGGAAAUACGUCAGGAAAGUCAAUAACAACAGGAAUAUUAUUCAAAUUUGACGUGUCUUUAUUCAAAUCCAUAACAUGGGCUAAGAAAGCUUGACAUCCGUUUUUCAAUAAACGAAUAGCUUUAUGAUUAGAUAUGACAGUGAUUGAUUUUAAUGGUUUAGUUGCUUGAAUUCGUACAACAGGUUGGUUAGGAAUAUGAAAACUAACAACCUUACGAAAACAAUCAAUUUUGGCAUGAUGAGUAGUUAACCAAUCAAUCCCUAAAAUCACAUCAAAAGCAAGUAUCUUUAAAGAGAUAAGGUCAACAGGUAAGGUGAUGGUGCCAACUUGAAUCAAACAAGAUUUAUAAACAGUGGAUGUGAUGAAAGUUUCUCCUAACGGAGUUUCCACAGAUAGGUCAAAGUCUAAUUUCUCCGGAGUCAAGUUUAAACGUUGAGCACAAGCAGGAGAGAUAAAUGAAUGGGUAGCACCGGUAUCUAGUAAAGUAUAAACUUCACAAGAAUUUAUAAAUAGCUUACCCGUGAUCACCUCGUUUGGGUUCCUCGCAUUUUGACCAGUCACAACAAACGCUCUUCCAGGAACCGUUGACUUUGACUUUUCUGGGACAGUCUUUUGAGUCACCGUCCCCGCUGAACUAGGUUUCGCUACCGUGCAAUCUCGAGCGAUAUGUCCUUCCUUUCCACAAUUAUAGCAUACCUGGAACUGUUGUGGGCAGUUUGGACUGAUAUGUCCCUCUUUCCCGCAUUUAUAGCAUAUGACCGGUGGUCGUUCUCCUCCCUUGGAACCAGUUGCUGCUGGCACUGUCGUCUUCACAUGGUCGUUGUUGAAUCUCCUCUUUUUAAAAUCUCCUCCUGACUCGCUUCUUCUAUUUUCAUGGCCAUGAUUACCACCAGAGUGGUUACCAUUUUUGUCCGUCUUUUUCUUUCUCCACUGGUUAUUGUUGUUUUGUUGACUGCUAUCUCCGGUAUGAUCCUGAUUGUGGUACCUCGGUUGACCGUACUCGUUAUCUCGCUCUAACAAUUGAGCCCUGUUAACAACAUCUGAAUAGAGAGAAAAUUUAUGAGAGAUGAGAUACUGACGUAUGCCGGGUUUCAAACCUCUCAGAAACAUCCGCGUCAUACGUUCCUCAUUCUCCACCAAAUGAGGUGCAAACCUGGAUAACUCUGCAAACUUCGCCUCGUACUGAGACACCGUCAUGUUGUUCUGCUCCAGUCUAAUAAACUCCACUUCCUUCAUAUGACGAACACUUUCAGGAAAGUAUUUGUCAUUAAAUAGUUUCUGAAACGUCUCCCAAGACAUGCUGAGUGCGGCUGGAUGGGUACGCUUCACAGACUCCCACCAGUAGUCUGCCUCGCCACGGAACAUAAAGGUGGCGAAUGGAACCUUCUGUUCCUCCGUGCAUCCCAAGACAUCGAAUAUCUUGGUAAUUUGCUUGACCCAUGUUUCCGCCAUGAUCGGAUCUGGCUUUCCCUUAAAUUCUGGUGGUCCCAACUCUUUGAACUGCUUGGCUGUGACAACCCGUGAAUUGCUAUCAUUUCCUCCUGUAUUUUGAACACGAGUCUCCCUCGUCUGAUUUUGCAUGAACUGCAAAAAGCUUCUAAACAUCCCCUCGUUCAUCAUCUGCUCAGUGGUGUUGUUCACAGGAGGAACAUUGCCAGCCUGUUGCACGUUCUCCUCGUUGGUGAGUACAGGCGUCUCCACGGUCUCAUUUCCAUUGUUAAUAUUCUCAGUCGACAUUCUCAAAUACUGUCAUAAAACAAGGGUUAAUUAAGGAAAUCAAUAUAUCACAUAAUAUCCCUAUAUACUGACCAACUAACAAAUAAGCUUAGGUAGGACACACUAGCGAAGGAUUUACUCGUCUCUCCCCUCCUAGUUCUAUUCCCCGAUCUCCGCCAGAGAUCAUAUCCCUAAGCUCUGAUACCAACUGUGACGCCCCCAAAAUAGGUAUACAUCACCCAUUCUGAGUUGUCAAUACAUGGUACAGAAACAGCUAUAACUUUAUUAUUACAAUAGUAAAACUGUGAGUUUGAAUACAAAUAUUGUCUUCUAGACAAUAUCUAUACCCAAAUAAAUCCUCAUCACAUUUAUUGAUACAUUAUUUUACAAAAAUGGUGAGGACUACUAAACAACUCUCUCUAUAACCAUCAUUCCAUACCCCGACUCGUACUCGCUACAUUCUCGCCUCCUGAGAAGAAAAAUGGAACAAAAAGGAAAAGGGUGAGCUCAACUAGCCCAGUAAAGAAUAUUAUGACUAAGAUAAUAUACAACAAAAUUAUCGUUAGUCUUCAACAGGGGAAAAUCUAAUAGAAUACAAUAGACAACAAGUUUUAAAUCAAUAUUUGCAGCGGAAAUAAUAAUUCAUUAGAAGAGUUAAGUAGAGAAUGCAAACUACUAUCUUCUAUGUAUGAAUUUUAAAGUUCGUCGUCUAUCUUUUAUCCCUGUAACAUCAAUCAAUAUAUAUCUGGAAUCAAAUAUUCAUCUUUGCACUACAGGCCAAAGAUAUUCCAUAAUAUCAUCAUUUAAGACUGAGGAUGAUGAAAAAUAUUUUUUAAAGAAACGAAUCCAGUGAAUCAAAAUGACAAGGAUUAAGGAUUAAUGAUUCGUACUUUGUUUUAUCCACGUCCAAAAAUACCUCAAAAAUAAUCAUAGCGGUGUAAAAUUCAAG